GACGAACGCUGGCGGCGUGCUUAACACAUGCAAGUCGAACGGAAAGGCCCUGCUUGCAGGGUACUCGAGUGGCGAACGGGUGAGUAACACGUGGGUGAUCUGCCCUGCACUUCGGGAUAAGCUUGGGAAACUGGGUCUAAUACCGGAUAGGAACCAUCUUUAGUGUGGUGGUUGGAAAGUUUUUUCGGUGUAGGAUGAGCUCGCGGCCUAUCAGCUUGUUGGUGGGGUAAUGGCCUACCAAGGCGGCGACGGGUAGCCGGCCUGAGAGGGUGUACGGCCACAUUGGGACUGAGAUACGGCCCAGACUCCUACGGGAGGCAGCAAUGGGGAAUAUUGCACAAUGGGCGCAAGCCUGAUGCAGCGACGCCGCGUGGGGGAUGAAGGCCUUCGGGUUGUAAACUCCUUUCGCUAGGGACGAAGCUUUGUUGUGACGGUACCUAGAUAAGAAGCACCGGCUAACUACGUG
rnacentral:rRNA from 1 species